UACGUAGGGUGCGAGCGUUAAUCGGAAUUACUGGGCGUAAAGUGUGCGCAGGUGGCGCUGCAAGUCGAGUGUGAAAGCCCCGAGUUUAACUUGGGAAUUGCGCUCGAAACUACGGCGCUGGAGUAUGGCAGAGGAAGGUGGAAUUCCACGUGUAGCGGUGAAAUGCGUAGAGAUGUGGAGGAACACCGAUGGCGAAGGCAG
rnacentral:rRNA from 1 species